UGGAAAACCCUCUCCUGCUGCUUUUGUCUUCCUGCCCUGCUUCCUGCCCUGGGCAUGGAGCUGGGCCCCCACACACCCUCUGGGUGCCUGCAGGCACCUUGAUGUGCCAACACGGAAAUUUAAGAUUUGCAGAAGAGCUGUAUAUACCCAGAACGCACAGGACAGAGGCUCAGGCUGUGAGAGGCAGUCCUGUUUGCGCUCAUUCCUGGGCCGGGACAGAAGCAAACCCAAGCCUCAAAUCCUGUCAGAUUUCUUUUCCUUUUUUAAUAGAAAAAAAUUCAAGGCAUUAUUUUGUCACCUAUUUCCAUGAUUUAUCCUUCAGACAGCUCCUUUCUACGCUCACCCACAAACCCCAUUGCAUCACUGCCUGCCUGGAGAGAUGUUCAGAGCUUCAAAAGAACAGUGAUCGAAGAUGGACAUAUGAGACCUUGUCACUGCCUCCAGGCAAACACUCAUGCACAUCCCAGAGAUGUGAGAUCACAUCCCAAAGAUGCUGCAGUCCAAGAUUUCCUGGAAAAUUUUAGCUCAUCCACACUCAGAGUACAGAGGUUUGAAACUGAGAGACUCAGAGCAGUGCUAAAACACCCCUCCCCUCCUGAGAGCCGUGGAGACCUGCUCCCAACUCUGCUGCGGGCACCACCCAGCCCACGUGCAUCUGCUCAGCUACAUCCCAAACCCCAGGAGUUUUGGGCAUUCUGGGGCUGGGCUGGCCAGUGGUGCUGGUUCAGCAGCUACUGCAGGAGUGACCCAGGCACCUUUCUAGGUAGGUUCAGAAUCUCCUGACAACAGGGCAGGCAGGACAGCCAUGGGACAGAGCUCAAGCACAAAUAAAUUCCUCCUUUCAGUUAUUUUGAAACUUCCUUCAGAUGCUAUCAGUCAUCACUAAAGAGCAAAAAUCAACAUGAUAAAAUAGCCUGAAAGAAAGAAAACAUUUUAACAUUGAUAUGGAAAAAAUUUAAAAGAGCUGCAUUUCUUUCCCAUUAUCACUGAUAGAACCAGAUGUCUACAGGUUGAAGAAUAGCAAUGAAAAAUGAGCUGUGUCUUGCAGUUAGUUUACCAACCUGUCAAAACCAGAAUUUGCACAGCCAGAGCAAACUGAUCCCCUGUGAGCAGUGCUGGCAUCAAAACUUCUUUCCUCAAGGUGUCACCCAUAGCAAUCAGAGGGCUGAGAACCUCUGGAGCUGCCAUCCUACCUGCAGGAGACUUGCCAAACUUCACACUUAACAUAUGUCAAGCAUUAAAAACUCACCAGUGUUGCUGAACAUGGUUCUUGUCGGAGUUUCUGCCUGAGAUGCUUGCAGUGCCAGCAGCUUCCAAACUCCUGAGCAGUCUCUGCCACUUGCUUCUGAGUGUGGAGAAGGAAGACAGGCCGCCCUUUUAUCUGUGUCUUGCUCUGAGGUGUCAGCAGGUCCACUGCCAAGGGGUGGUGUUUCAAGAAAGGAAGUUCCCGUGGAAAAAAAAAAAAAAAAAAAGAAAAAAAAGACUACAACUCCCUCUGCACAUAGUCAGACCCUGAAAAACAGCGAAACUUAAAUCCCGACUCACAUGGAAGGUGAAUUUGCAUAAUCAGAUGACAAGUGGACAGACCCUUCACUGACAAACAGCAAAAUCACAGGCUAGGUAAACCUUCUGUCUUUGCUGAUCAGAGUGGCUGGCUGUGGUUCAGCUCCAUGGCUUUUUUCUUCUUGGUGAAGCAAUGAAAAAUACCAGCCCAUUUUAAUUUCAUUUUUUUACCCCCAAAUAGUUAAAACAGUUAGUAAUUUCAAUCUGUCUCAUAAAACUAUACUCUUUUAAAUUAACAGUGGUGGGAGAUUUUUUUUUUCCCCACAGGCAAUCUCCGUAUUCCCAAUAAUGUCAGCAAUUUACUUCCCAGCUUGCAGUCAGCCUUAUCUACAUCUGUCUGUUGCAAGGUCACCUUAUUAGCUGGCACAAGAAGGUAAUAAAAUGCAAACAAAUAAAAUAAAAUUCCCCAGUGGCUGCUCCCCUAUUUGCAAGUUUGCCCUUUGUCUCAGGUUUUGUUUAUUUUGUGUAUCAAAAAUGACAAAACAAGUUCAAACUUCCAGAGCAUGACCACAGGUAUUGAUGCCAAAUAGGAAAGACAAAUCCUUAGCCUAACAUUUUCAUUCAUUCGCAACCGUAUGAGAAGCUGCCCUUUAUAACAGCAAUUUACUGAGCUACAUUUUUUAUAAACACCUGAGGCUUCAAGUUGAUUUUGUUUUGUCGGGUUUUUUUUCUACGUCUAGUCAGAGUAACACUCAAAAUAAAUAAGACAUCAAAAGGUUUCCUUUUCGGUGCUCUGGAAAGGUGAACUCAUCCUCUCAGCCUUCCCACGGGGUUGCUCUGAGGUGUCAGAGGGUGAGCAGUGCAUCCGGCAUGGAACACAUGGACACAGCCCCUGUCUGGGUCCUGAUGGCACCACGGUGAGGAGAUGUCCUCCACUGACCACAGCAGGACUGCUCCCACAUGCACCACCUAGUAGGUGCUGAGUCCUGCCUGAAUCACAGCCUAGGGAGUGAUAAGUAGUAAGAAAUCCUGGGGGUGUCAAAGACAAAAAAGCACAGAAGAACAGCUGACGAUCUGGUCCAUCUCAUUUGAGCUGGAUUGGAGGUGCUACGUCGGUCCUGCUCUCACAAUUUCAUUAAGAUGUACCUCAGUCUUUAGGAAUGUCCUAGUAUUGAGACACAUCACAUCCACACAAUGAUCCUGGCGUGCCAGUGCUGCUGUUACUCUGAAAGGAACAUUGAUUUGCUCACUUCUCACUCACAUACCUCAACCAUGGACCAUGAGAGUGGUCUGUGCCCAUAGGGCAUCCCGUGUAUCCAGCAGGCAGAUUCACUUCUAAUCCAACAUGAGCCAGCUUGAGGUAGGCAUUCGGACGUCAGGGGUUGAUGAAAGAUGGCCAAGCCCAGAUCUUAACACUGAUUCCAAGUCAUCUGGCCCCAGGUACCUGGUAAUGAGUUUCUCACAGGCAAAUACCAGAGAAGUGAUUGAUGCCAGUAUAAUCAUUAUGGAAAUUCCACUGCUUCACAGCAUCGUGAAAUCAUAGAUUAUCCUGAGUUGUGAGGGACCCACAAGAGUCAUGGAAGCCCUUCUUCUUCCUUCCAACUGAACGCUGAAAAAGGAUUUUUGGACCUAAGUAAGGGAUAUAGGUGACUGACUUUGGGCACUUACCUGCAGAAGGAAUGAAAACUGUUAUCAUCCUGUGCCCAACCCAGCACCACCCAAGUGCUCUGCUGCUGAAGAAGGCAAAGACAGAGAUCAAACAGCGACCAUUCCUCCACAUAUAUCAUACAUACACUUACAGCUACUCAGGCAAAACACUCUCCCUGCCCUGAAAGAAAUGUUCUGUGGGCCCAAAAACUGAAGGUUUAGGCCGCUGACAAAAGAGAGAGCUGCUUUAAGAGCAAGCCAAAAUUCUAAGAUGCUAAAAUAUUUUUUAAGAUCCCUUUCCUGGCUAAGGUGCAAAAGGCAAAAUUGCAAUAUCAGUCCAGAUAUAUUGAGCAACAACGUGUGAAGGCUGAACCUGGAAUUUCAGUACUACGAUUUCUUGACCCUCAGUUCUAGUACAACUGUUGCACUGGAAACACUGAAAUAUGCAUGCUCUACUGCCAAGAUAUUUUGUAUUAGUCUAAAACAACUCAACAUGAAGUACUUCUUCUUCUCGGCAAACUUCUU